CAGAGCCCCUAAGUGUCAGUCGAAGUCAUGAGGAGAGAGGUCCUUGCAGUGAUGGCAUUUCUGAAAGAUUAUCGAGAGGACGGAUUCAAUUCUGCUAAAACAGAGGCCAGGGAGAUAGCAGAGAAGAUUAAUUUGGGGAAAAGACAGAUGAACAACAUCACCUAUCCGUGAGCCCUGGCUGAACAAGGUAUUUGAGUUGACAAAGUACAUUCUUGUUGUAUAAAGAUCAUUGCCAAAUGAAACAUGGUGUAGUGAGUAUGUUCUAAUGCUGUGUUUGUCUUUUUUUCAGGUUGGGUUCUAUACUGCUGCUCACCACUUUUCUCUGAUAUGAAGACUUUUGAGAAGACGACAACAGUAGGACUUUGUGUUUACAAAUGCUUUCUGUCUCUCACACACACACACACACACACACACACACACACACACACACACACACACAGUUUUACUCACAUGAAAUGGUGAAGGCAACAGGGAAAAUGGACAUUUGAAGAUGGAGAACUUAACCACUUGCACACCUAAACACCCCCCCCCCCCCCCCCUCUCUCUCUCUCUCUGUCUCUCUGUCUCUCUCUCUGUCUCUCUCUCUCUCUCUCCUGUCACUCACUCACCCGCUCACUCACACUGAACCACUGCUUUGCCUGUCUCUCACUCACACACACAGCCACUGUUAUUCCUGUCCACACACAAAAUAUUUUCAUUGGUCCUGUUUAAAUGUAAAUGGUGGUUUUCAUCUCUCUCUCUCUCGUUUGAGUAAUAAACAUGUAAUUUUGGCAAAGGCUGGAGAAAUCUGAAACUGAUUUUACUGUGGAGAGUUGAGUGGCAGUGCACUAUGGGUUUAUUGCGAUUCUAAGAGUAUUGGGAUGGUUAUUUGUUUUGUGUACGUGUUUCAAAAAUGAGGGCCCCAUGUCUAUAUUUUGCCUAGGGCCCCAAAAUGGCUAGAUCCGCCCCUGGGCCUACCAUCUGGAUAAUGAGAACUUUUUCAAGACAAAACUGUACGUUGAAAAGGUGAAAGUCAUCAGGGUCUCCAAAUUGGAUCCAUUACUAAAGUGUACAAUACAAAAUAAGUACCCACAUCUAGACAGUGUGUCUCUGUCUAAACAUUUUCCACUGCAUGGAACACAACGUGCGGAGGGCAUGACUUCACCUGCUG
rnacentral:lncRNA from 1 species